UACGUAGGGGGCAAGCGUUGUCCGGAUUUACUGGGCGUAAAGCGCGCGUAGGCGGAGCAUUAAGCGUGCCUUGAAAGCCCCCGGCUCAACCGGGGAAGGUGGGUGCGAACUGGCGCUCUUGAGGGCGAUAGAGGGGGGCGGAAUUCCUGGUGUAGCGGUGAAAUGCGUAGAGAUCAGGAGGAACACCGAUGGCGAAGGCAGGUCUCUGGGCAUUAACUGACGCUGAGGAGCGAAAGCAUGGGGAGCGAACAGG
rnacentral:rRNA from 1 species